AGGUGGAGUCUAAUCCAGGUUUUGUAUCUUUGUAUGUACUUUGAUUUUUUUGUAUGCACUUUUGUAUGUACUUUGAUUUUUAUCAAAGUAUCAUGCUUUAGAAACUGCAGUUGUCAUACACAGAUAGGCUGGGUUUAAUCAAUGACUGGAAGUGCCUGGCUCAUUCUGCUGGCUAUUGAUUUUUGGGAGACACAGCUGCUGUCCACAUUUGGAAGGGUGCAGAGCUGGAGCUACUGUGUUGCCACAUCCUGAGUUAAGAGUUCAUUUAUGGGGACAAAUAAGCUUGUGCCCCCAUAAUAAUUUGAAUUAUUUUAUGAGGUAAUACUUUUCUUUAUCUUCUUAUGGUUAUAUUUUUUAAAAUGGAACCUAAAGUCAUAUCGACCUAGAGUACAAAAUCUUUAACAUGAUUAUUUCAAUAAGACUAUGUGUGUGUGUGUGUGUGUGUGCAUGAGGUUGUUAGAAUGGAAGUCUUCAAUAUGCAAGUACGCUUGCUACCAGUAAAUUUUGUUUUAUUUCAUCCUGUCAUGCUGGGAGUGAGUGUUGAAAGACGAACAGGCAAGUGUUGCUCAGGCAGAGGGGAGAAGCACGUCAUCCAGCCCCCAGAAUAGCAUCGGCAGUAAAUACGGUCAUGCUGUUCCUCCCCGAGAUAGACCCAGAUCACAUUCGUAGCACCCACCGGGUCUGCUGCUUACCAGACCUUCAGGCCUUUGAUGAAACAUUUACAAAUGCAGCUGCAGUUCAGAGGGAUCUUCUGCCAGCAUUGAAGUAGCUGACAUCAAGAAAAUGGGAGGAAACGGGAUCACAAGGCAUGGAGUUCAAACAAAACGCAGUUUAGGGGGAAUACAAAUUUAAUCACAGUAUGAAAACGCUGUCCAAGAUAUGAACCCUGUACUUGUUAAAACUCCCGUUUCGUGUUAGCUUGUUUCCCAGUGACUUAGAACUGCUAAAGCAUGAAGCUUUUGUAGAGGAGGAAAGGUGAACUGAAAAAUAGCUCUUUGUUCAACUGUCUUGGGUCACAUAGAGUGUCAAAACUGGAAUUAAAAUGUAUUUUAAAGUGAAAUCAGAGAGAAGCUGAGAUUAAAAAUUUUUUUCCAGUUUCAGUAAUUUCUCACUUUGUGCAAUAUAUUGAAAUGAAGUUAGAUAGCCCUGGAGGUCUAUGGCAGUGGCCUAUUUAGCACGUUG